rnacentral:lncRNA from 1 species
GUUUGUUUGUUUGUUUGUUUGUUUGUGACGGUGUCUCGCUCUGUUUCCAGGCUGGAGUCCAGUGGCGCAAUCUCGGCUCACUGCAACCUCCGCCUCCCAAGUUCAAGCAAUUCCCCUGCCUCAGCCUCCGGAGUAGCUGGGACUAUAGGCGCGUACUACUACGCCCCGCUAAUUUUUUGUAUUUUAGCAGAGACGGGGUUUCACCAUGUUGGCCAGGAUGGUCUCGAUCUCCUGACUUCGUGAUCUGCCCGCCUCGGCCUCCCAAAGUGCUGGGAUUACAGGUGUGAGCAACCGCGCCCAGCCAAUUCGAGGAGUUUUUUAAAGAAUUACAGAAUCACAAAAACCCUAGAAGUCAUCCGGAAGGGAAGAAGAGAAUGCGAAAGAACAGAAGAGUA